GACGAACGCUGGCGGCGUGCCUAACACAUGCAAGUCGAACGGAACUGUUUUGAAAGAUUUCUUCGGAAUGAAUUUGAUUUAGUUUAGUGGCGGACGGGUGAGUAACGCGUGAGUAACCUGCCUUCAAGAGGGGAAUAACAUUCUGAAAAGAAUGCUAAUACCGCAUGACAUAUCGGAACCACAUGGUUUUGAUAUCAAAGAUUUUAUCGCUUGAAGAUGGACUCGCGUCCGAUUAGUUAGUUGGUGAGGUAACGGCUCACCAAGACCGCGAUCGGUAGCCGGACUGGGAGGUUGAACGGCCACAUUGGGACUGAGACACGGCCCAGACUCCUACGGGAGGCAGCAGUGGGGGAUAUUGCGCAAUGGGGGCAACCCUGACGCAGCAACGCCGCGUGAAGGAUGAAGGUUUUCGGAUUGUAAACUUCUUUUAUUAAGGACGAAAAAUGACGGUACUUAAUGAAUAAGCUCCGGCUAACUACGUG
rnacentral:rRNA from 1 species